rnacentral:tRNA from 1 species
GCCGAGGUGGCGGAACCUGGCUAACGCGCCAGACUUGAGAUCUGGUGGGAGAAAUCCCAUGCAGGUUCGAAGUACGCUAAAGCAAAUGCAAAGAGGUGCUGAAAAUCCUGCCCUCGGCG